AUUGAACGCUGGCGGCAGGCUUAACACAUGCAAGUCGAGCGGGGUGAUGGUGCUUGCACUAUCACUUAGCGGCGGACGGGUGAGUAAUGCUUAGGAAUCUGCCUAUUAGUGGGGGACAACAUCUCGAAAGGGAUGCUAAUACCGCAUACGUCCUACGGGAGAAAGCAGGGGAUCACUUGUGACCUUGCGCUAAUAGAUGAGCCUAAGUCGGAUUAGCUAGUUGGUGGGGUAAAGGCCUACCAAGGCGACGAUCUGUAGCGGGUCUGAGAGGAUGAUCCGCCACGUUGGGGCUGAGACACGGCCCAGACUCCUACGGGAGGCAGCAGUGGGGAAUAUUGGACAAUGGGGGGAACCCUGAUCCAGCCAUGCCGCGUGUGUGAAGAAGGCCUUAUGGUUGUAAAGCACUUUAAGCGAGGAGGAGGCUCUUUUGGUUAAUACCCAAGAUGAGUGGACGUUACUCGCAGAAUAAGCACCGGCUAACUCUGUGCCAGCCGCCGCGGUAA
rnacentral:rRNA from 1 species